AAAUUCGAGUUAAAUCGUAUCUGAUUGAUAAAAACAACAUUGUAAACACAUAACAAUGGCGGCCGUGAAGACAAAAUUUUACAAAAUCGGAUCCGAUUCCGGAAGCGGAUAAGGGUAAUUCCGGGUUUGGCAAUCAUUUACAAAAUAAAUCCAAGCAGGUGAAAAAAUACAUCUAUGCAUGGUAAAUGAAUAUAAACACUAGUAUUGUAAACCAAAAGAUAUACGUAAAAGAAAGAAAAAGCAGAAAAAUAUUUUAUUCAGAAACUCAAAAUUACUUUUGACAAAUUUUAAUUUAAAAAUCCAAAUACAACGUGACAGCUGGGAACAGUAUAUCUAACAAUAUACAUGUUCAUAGUCUAAAUUUUCUUUAUAAAUGAUAAAUGAUGAUAAUGCAUGUGAGAUGCUUUUAAAGAGUAAACAUAUUACUGCAAUUUCGAGGGGUUAUUUGUUUUUCUCAAUUUUGAAGGGUCAAUUAAAGUAGCUGAAAGUUUCUUUAUUUUCACAAAUAAUGCAACUAUAUUAUAUAUACCUUAAUGUAAGUAAAUCAUAUGAUAUAUAGGUGGCAUUCUUUGGGCCACUCCCCCCCCC
rnacentral:lncRNA from 1 species